rnacentral:tRNA from 1 species
GCCAGCGUAGCAUAGUGGUUUGAGCAUUGGACUAUGACUCUGGAGACCAGGGUUCAAGUCCCUGCUCAGCCA